rnacentral:rRNA from 1 species
UACGGAGGGAGCUAGCGUUGUUCGGAAUUACUGGGCGUAAAGCGCACGUAGGCGGCUUUGUAAGUUAGAGGUGAAAGCCCGGGGCUCAACCCCGGAAUUGCCUUUAAGACUGCAUCGCUUGAAUCCAGGAGAGGUGAGUGGAAUUCCGAGUGUAGAGGUGAAAUUCGUAGAUAUUCGGAAGAACACCAGUGGCGAAGGCGGCUCACUGGACUGGUAUUGACGCUGAAGUGCGAAAGCGUGGGGAGCAAACAGG